UUAGGUUUUAUCACCCAAAAGACAUUGUAGAUCUCCUGUCAGUGUUAUUUCCCAGAGGUCCAUCCUCAGUAGAAUCCCCACACAAUAGUUAACAGAAUACUCUAUUAUGUUGAAUAAAACAACCAUUUGAUGCAAUAAAAGUAUUAUAACAUAAUCUUGCAAUUUUUCCACCAUACUCUCAAACCCCAGCUGAUGGUGCUUCCGUUUGUGUGUGUGUUUCUGAUGGUGCUUCCAGGUGCACACUAAAAUAUUAACGAAAGGUAGGUGGCGUCAGAGUUGGCCUCAUUUAUAAUUCAGGACACACACACAGUGGAGGCCCCUCAGAGGAGGAAGGGGAGGACCAUCCUACUCAGCGAAUUUCAUAAAAAUUUAAAUAGUGAAAUAUUAAAGUUUAUUUCUAGGUACAACUAUAGAAAACAUAUUAACAUCACCAAAUAACUGAUUAAAACACACUGUUUUGCAAUGAAGGUCUACAGUAGCCUCAACAGCUAUUUUCAAAAACAUAGGAGGCUUAUUGUUCUCACCCCUUUCCAUAGACUUACACGGUAAUUAUGACUACUUCUGGAGGACGUCCACCAACCUAUCAGAGCUCUUGCAGAAUGAACUGACAUGUUGUCCAUCCAAUCACAGGAUCAGAGAAUGAAUCUAGUACUGAAAGCACAAGGUACAGCUAGCUAGCACUGCAGUGCACAAAGUGUGAGAAUAACCCUAACCCACCUUAUGGUGGCCGAGUGGGCUUGCAGUACGAGGCAGAGGGAGACUCCUCCACCGUCUCCCUACCAUGGAACACAGGCACAGGAGACCAUCUACCAGUUCCUGGGGGGCUGAUAGGGACGCAGACACCUGAUAGGGACGCAGACACAGACACCUGAACCGACCGACCUCUUCAGGGCAACGUUUUGCAUUGAGUGACCCUGGCAGCCAAUCA
rnacentral:lncRNA from 1 species